UGUAUAAUAUCCUUCUGGGUAAAUUUCUUCGUAUAACUGUUCUAGCCAAUUUAUAGUUUCAAUUUCGUAGUCUAUUACUUUUUCUAAUAUUAUUUUCUUAAUAUCUAUUAUUUCUAUAUUUUUAAGUAUAUAUAAGAUUAAAACUUUAAGAUAAUCGAGAUGAUCUAUCUUUUAAAAUUGGUUUUAUUAUAAUAUUUUGUAGUUGUUU
rnacentral:lncRNA from 1 species